rnacentral:lncRNA from 1 species
GUAUGCACAAAGGACUAUAAAUAGUGCCAAAUUUAAUCAUAAACUUGUGUAUAUCAAUAGAUAACCAAUUUUAUAAACAAGCAAAAAAAAUAGACGUUUUUUCUGCAUGCGUUAGCACUAAAAAUAAACAGAAGAAAAUAGGAUAAAUUAUUACCAACAGUUUAUCGCUCUAGGACCAAAGAUUGUUCAAUGACUGAUAAUAUUCUUUUGAACCGGGUAUGAAAAUCAAUUUUCAGAAAUAGCAAAAUCAUUGAAAAGAAAACACACCUUUUUAUACCUCAAGAUUGAGUCUCUCUUUACUGCACAUAUGUAGAAUAAAUGUCUGUACAGUCUGCGAUUCUGAAGAAUUAAAUCAAUUAUAAGAAUGUACAUAUACAUAACAAACGAGCAAAAAAUGAAAACAUAAAGUAUUAAUAAAAGCUAAAGAAAAUAGACAGAAAUCGGGAGUUGCUCUUUAAACAAAAAUCGAACAAAAUUUGUUUGGUGGUGAUCGCGGAGUUGGAGUUCCAUCAAAGAGAAACAAUCGUCGGUUACAUAUUCGCCGCCGUCGCCUUUGGUGGUAGUCUCGAGCAUUGAUGCUAUUGCAGCACUGCUGUAUUUAGGCAUGUAAAUAAGGAAUUUCAUUGAGAUGUAGACCUGAAAUACUGGGCUGAUAGCAAAGGGGAAAGAAUGGGUAAGUGUGUCAAGGACUGAAAC